UUAACAUGUUUCUUAUGCCAGUAAAGCCCCUUACAUUGAAUUGAGAGAGAGAGAGAGAGAGAGAGAGAGAGAGAGAGAGAGAGAGAGAGAGAGAGAGAGAGAGAGAGAGAGAGAGAGAAAGAUUGGAGGUUGGAGCAGAGAGCAGGAACCAUUCACUGAGACACCUUGUGGAUUGAUGAACUAUUCCAAAUGGACAGAAUUCCAUUUGUGUGUGUGUGUGUGUGUGUGUGUGUGUGUGUGUGUGUGUGUGUGUGUGAGUGGAAGAGAGAGAGCCAGGAUGAUAUUUUCAGCAGAAGGGAGGUAUUCUAGAGUGUGGAGUUUACAUUGAGCUAUGCUUACUGAGAUGUGGGCUAGCAGCAGUCAGAAGAUAUCUAUAUGUAUCUGUCUCACUGCAGCCAUGGCUGAGGCUUUCAGAGGAGGCUUUUAGUGUGUGUGUGUGUGUGUGUUCACUUUAGUGUUGGGUGUGUGGAAACUAAACUACUGUUUUGGUGGUUGUAUCACUUAUGUCUAUAUGCUCACUGGACUGUGAGUGUGUGUGUGUGUGUGUGUGUGUGUGUGUGUGUGUGUGUGUGUGUGUGUGUGUGUGUGUGUGUGUGUGUGUGUGUGUGUGUGUGUGUGUGUGUGUGUGUGUGUGUGUGUGUGUGUGUGUGUGUGUUUUGUUCUCUGUUCACUCAGAUUUAUAAUGUUCAGUCUACUGGAAAGACAAGGCCAUCUUCUCUCUCUCUCUACCUCACCACCUCAGCGGUGCAGUGUCCAGUCCAACCACUGUCUCCCUGGUCUUUUCCUGGUCUAGCCCCAGGCUCUGCUUUCAGCAUGCUGACCCUGUCUGCCUGACUGCCAUGUGUUCUGUCAUUUUCAGGGGUUGAGAGAAGAGAGGAGAGGGAGAGGACAGGCAGAGAGGAGAGGACAGGGAGAGGACAGGCAGAGAGGACAGGCAGAGAGGACAGGGAGAGGACAGGGCGAGGACAGGGAGAGAGAGGACAGGCAGAGAGAGGACAGGGAGAGGACAGGCAGAGAGGAGAGAGAUAAAAGAGAGGACAGGGAGAGGACAGGGAGGAGAGAGGACAGGCAGAGAAGACAGGCAGAGAGGACAGGCAGAGAGGAGAGGGAGAUAACAUUUGUAAUGUCUUUAUUAGUUAGGAACUUCUGUGAGUGUAAUGUUUACUGUUCAUUUUUAUUGUUUAUUACACUUUUCUAUAUUAUCUACCUCACUUGCUUUGGCAAUAUAAACAUAUGUUUCCCAUGCCAAUAAAGCCCUUAAAUUGAAAUUGAAAUUGAAUUUAAUUGAGAGAGAGGACAGGAGAGGGAGAAAGCGGAAGGGGGACAAGUAGAGGGAGAAAGCGGAAGGAGGACAAGUAGAGGGAGAAAGCGGAAGGGGGACAAGUAGAGGGAGAAAGCGGAAGGGGGACAAUAGAGGGAGAAAGCGGAAGGGGAAAAUCCUAGUAGCCCAAGAGGUAGGGAGGGUUAGAGAGAUGGUGAGGGGAAGAGAAGAGGAGGAGAAGAAGGGACCUGAAAAGCAGAGAGAGAGAGAGAGAGAGAGAGAGCGAGAGAGAGAGGGAAACAUCAGGGAGGGAUGGAGUGGAGGAUGGAUGGAGUGGAGGAUGGAUGGAGUAGAAUGUAGGAGAGGAGAGAGCGAUGGCCUGC
rnacentral:lncRNA from 1 species